GAUAAACGCUGGCGGCGUGCCUAAUACAUGCAAGUCGAGCGAACGGACGAGAAGCUUGCUUCUCUGAUGUUAGCGGCGGACGGGUGAGUAACACGUGGAUAACCUACCUAUAAGACUGGGAUAACUUCGGGAAACCGGAGCUAAUACCGGAUAAUAUUUUGAACCGCAUGGUUCAAAAGUGAAAGACGGUCUUGCUGUCACUUAUAGAUGGAUCCGCGCUGCAUUAGCUAGUUGGUAAGGUAACGGCUUACCAAGGCAACGAUGCAUAGCCGACCUGAGAGGGUGAUCGGCCACACUGGAACUGAGACACGGUCCAGACUCCUACGGGAGGCAGCAGUAGGGAAUCUUCCGCAAUGGGCGAAAGCCUGACGGAGCAACGCCGCGUGAGUGAUGAAGGUCUUCGGAUCGUAAAACUCUGUUAUUAGGGAAGAACAUAUGUGUAAGUAACUGUGCACAUCUUGACGGUACCUAAUCAGAAAGCCACGGCUAACUACGUGCCAGCAGCCGCGGUAAUACGUAGGUGGCAAGCGUUAUCCGGAAUUAUUGGGCGUAAAGCGCGCGUAGGCGGUUUUUUAAGUCUGAUGUGAAAGCCCACGGCUCAACCGUGGAGGGUCAUUGGAAACUGGAAAACUUGAGUGCAGAAGAGGAAAGUGGAAUUCCAUGUGUAGCGGUGAAAUGCGCAGAGAUAUGGAGGAACACCAGUGGCGAAGGCGACUUUCUGGUCUGUAACUGACGCUGAUGUGCGAAAGCGUGGGGAUCAAACAGGAUUAGAUACCCUGGUAGUCCACGCCGUAAACGAUGAGUGCUAAGUGUUAGGGGGUUUCCGCCCCUUAGUGCUGCAGCUAACGCAUUAAGCACUCCGCCUGGGGAGUACGACCGCAAGGUUGAAACUCAAAGGAAUUGACGGGGACCCGCACAAGCGGUGGAGCAUGUGGUUUAAUUCGAAGCAACGCGAAGAACCUUACCAAAUCUUGACAUCCUUUGACAACUCUAGAGAUAGAGCCUUCCCCUUCGGGGGACAAAGUGACAGGUGGUGCAUGGUUGUCGUCAGCUCGUGUCGUGAGAUGUUGGGUUAAGUCCCGCAACGAGCGCAACCCUUAAGCUUAGUUGCCAUCAUUAAGUUGGGCACUCUAAGUUGACUGCCGGUGACAAACCGGAGGAAGGUGGGGAUGACGUCAAAUCAUCAUGCCCCUUAUGAUUUGGGCUACACACGUGCUACAAUGGACAAUACAAAGGGCAGCGAAACCGCGAGGUCAAGCAAAUCCCAUAAAGUUGUUCUCAGUUCGGAUUGUAGUCUGCAACUCGACUACAUGAAGCUGGAAUCGCUAGUAAUCGUAGAUCAGCAUGCUACGGUGAAUACGAUCCCGGGUCU
rnacentral:rRNA from 1 species